UGAAAAUGUAUCAUAUCAGCAUUCAAUUGUACGUAGCGCCACCCUCUUGUGUCUCUUCUGGCUGCAAAAAACCAAGAUGGCGACGGCCAAAAUGCCGAACUCGAGGCUUCAAAACGGCAGUCCACAAACCAAUGGGUGACGUCACGGUGACUACGUCCACUUCUUAUAUACAGUCUAUGGGAUAAACCAAAUAUAAACAGCCAAAGAGUUACUGUGACUUCUCUUGUGCACCCCCAAAAAAGUCAGC